rnacentral:rRNA from 1 species
GAUGAACGCUGGCGGCGUGCCUAAUACAUGCAAGUCGAGCGAACAGACGAGGAGCUUGCUCCUCUGACGUUAGCGGCGGACGGGUGAGUAACACGUGGAUAACCUACCUAUAAGACUGGGAUAACUUCGGGAAACCGGAGCUAAUACCGGAUAAUAUAUUGAACCGCAUGGUUCAAUAGUGAAAGACGGUUUUGCUGUCACUUAUAGAUGGAUCCGCGCCGCAUUAGCUAGUUGGUAAGGUAACGGCUUACCAAGGCAACGAUGCGUAGCCGACCUGAGAGGGUGAUCGGCCACACUGGAACUGAGACACGGUCCAGACUCCUACGGGAGGCAGCAGUAGGGAAUCUUCCGCAAUGGGCGAAAGCUUGACGGAGCAACGCCGCGUGAGUGAUGAAGGUCUUCGGAUCGUAAAACUCUGUUAUUAGGGAAGAACAAAUGUGUAAGUAACGAUGCACGUCUUGACGGUACCUAAUCAGAAAGCCACGGCUAACUACGUGC